CAUAUCUCUCUUACGGGAAGGAUGAGAAGCUUCGACUAAGGUUCGAUUCGAGCGAAAGCGAGAAAGCGUUGCCGCAGGCAACGGCCCGAAGGGCGAAGCGCGCAGCGCUGAGUCAUCCUUCCCCCACCACCA
rnacentral:sRNA from 1 species